AGUCGCACCCGUCAUGUUGUGGAGGCUUUGGCUGACUCACAAUUUUGGAGGGCUCACAGCUUCUGCGUUUUCCUGCUGAUAGCAAUGAGCCGGGCCCUUGUUAAACACAGAUUGCCAGGCAUCUCCCCUAGAUAUUCCAAAUCUGGGCUGGAGCCCAGGAAUUUGGGUUUUUAAGAAACACUCCAAGGGAUUCUUAGAUUUAGGGAAGACUGGGAGACACUGGAAUUCUCCUGGUGUCCUGACGGUUUCAUGGAAGAGGACGCGGAGGCCCGUCGAAGAGCGAAGGCUCACCCGGGGGCCUGACUGCCCCGUUAGCAGACCCAAGUCUCGGUUCAGGUUUCCCGCCGUCCGUUUGUCACCGGCCUCUGCCGGAGGAAGCAGGAGGCUCGGACGCCGGGAGCUGCAGGCGCCACGGCGGCGGGCGGGAGGGUCAUCGCCUCCCCUAGUGCCGUGCGGCCGGUCAGCGGCGCGGUCUCCCUCCCGUGCUGGAAACCGGAGAGGAGCAGGCGCGGGGCAGGCAAUGACUGCAGCUUCCCUGGGCUCCUUCUGUGGGCCUGAUCCCUGCCCUACGGACCACGAAGGCCGGCAGCGGCAGGGUCUCCAGUGACCUUGAACUAGAGUCACUUUAUCCAUCUGGACCCCAGCGUCUUCAUGUGGAAAAUAAGGAUAUAUUUGCAGAUUCUUGGGAAACUGUUCAUGAACUCCAAGAAAGAUUUGCCAUAUGGACAAUGUAAAACAGCUUCACAGCAACUUGGCCUCUUGUGUGAAGAUCUCACGACUCACUUGCCACGCUCCCUGCUUUGUAACAGCAAAUUGGACUGCGGUCACGGCAAAGAUGAAUCUGCUACCUGCUGGGGUGAGGUGGUCAGAUAAUCAAAAUUAAAGAAUAGUCACCAGCAACUAAUAACUAAAAUCCAGAAUUAUACUUAAAACGUUAUCAUGCAGGAAUGUUUUCUAUUAGAAAUAAUGCCUCUAUAUAAUAUAAGCCAAAUGCUCAGCAAAACUUGAUAUUCAAGGGUCCCAACCAGAAGACUGGACAUACAUGGACAAGGUGUGUGACAAAGAUCAUCAGAUGAAUCAAGUAAAACUGAAAAUACAUGUAAUUGCUGUUUUUUUAUGGUGAUUUAUAAAUCCAAUUUGCCAGAUAUUAUUUAUGUGAUGAAAAUAACUGAUGUUUUAUAUUUAUCCAAAAUGAUAUUUUAGGGGGGAAAAUGCCUCACUUUGCCUUGUUCCAUGAUUGUGGAUGUUCCUACUCUUUACCUAUAUGGUAACUGAUGGCGUUUUUGUUUUGCCAUAAUUUUUUUUUUUUUAAGGUUUUGUUUAUUUGACAGAGAGAAAGACAGCCAGAGAGGGAACACAAGCAGGGGGAAUGGGAGAGGGAGAAGCAGGCUUCCCGCGGAGCAGGGAGCCCGAUGCGGGGCUCGAUGCGGGGCUCGAUGCGGGGCUCGAUGCGGGGCUCGAUGCGGGGCUCGAUGCGGGGCUGGAUCCCCGGACCCUGGGAUCAUGACCUGAGCCGAAGGCAGAUGCUUAACGACUGAGCCACCCAGGCGCCCCUUCAAAUUUAAUCUUAAAAGCUAAUGAUAAUGGCAUUGUUGGGACUCUGGGUAAUUUAACAGUUUUUGGUUUUUUUUUUUUAAAGAUUUUAUUUAUUUGAGAGAGAGAGACACAGCGAGAAAGGGAACACAGACAGGGGGAGUGGGGGAGGGAGAAGCAGGCUUCCCGCCGAGCAGGGAGCCCAAUGCGGGGCUCGAUCCUAGAACCCUGGGAUCAUGACCUGAGCCGAAGGCAGACGCUUAACGACUGAGCCACCCAGGCACCCCCAUAAUUUUUUUUUUUAAUUGAAGUAUACUUGACACACAAUGUUACAUUAGUUUCUGGUGUAUAACAUAAUGAUUCAACGACUCUGUAUGUUACACUAUGCUCACCACAAGUGUAGCUCCCAUCUGUCACCAUACAAGGCUAUUACAAUACCACUGACUUUACUCCCUAUCCUGUGUGCCUUUCAUCCCCGUGACUUAUUCAUCCCAUAACUAGAAGCCUGUACCUCCCGCUCUCCUGCACCCAUCCCCCUAAUCCCCCCCUCUCCUCUGGCAACCAUCAGUUUGUUCUCUGUAUUAUGGAUCUGUUUCUGCUUUUUGUUUGUUUAUUCAUUUGUUUGAUUUUUUAGAUUCCACAUAUAAGUGAAACCAUAUGGUAUUUGUUUUUCUCUGACUUAUUUCACUUAGCAUAAUACCCUCUAGGUCCAUCCAUGUUGUUACAAUGGCAAGAUUUCAUUCUUUUUUGUGGCUGAUAUUCCAUUGUGUAUAUAUACUGCAUCUUCUUUAUCCAUUCAUAUGUCUAUGGACAUGGGCUGCUUCCACACCUUGGCUGUUGUAAAUAAUGCUGCAACAAAUAUAAGGGUGUAUAUAUCUUUCUUGAAUUAGUGUUUUUGUUUUCUUUGGGUAAAUAUCCAGUAGUGGAAUUACUGGAUUGCGUGGCAUUUCUUUUUUUAAUUUUUUUGAGGAAACUCCGUAACAUUUUCCACAGUGUGUGCACUAAUUUACACUUCUACCAACAAUGCACAAGAAUUCUGUUUUUCUCCACAUCUUUCCCAAUACUUGUUAUUUCUUGUCUUUUUGAUACUAGCCAUUCAGACAGGUGUAAGGUGAUAUUGUGGGUUUGAUUUGCAUUUUCUGAUGAUUAGUGAUAUUGAACAUCUUUUCAUGUGUCUGUUGGCCAUCUGUAUGUCUUCUUUGGGAAAAUGUCUCUUCAUGUCCUCCGCCUAUUUUUUAAUUGGAUAUUAACUUCUUAUUGGAUAUGUCUUAUCCAAUAAUAAAUAUCCAAUAUUUCAUAUCUUAUGAAAUAUCUUAUUGGAUAUUUGCCAAUAUCUUCUUCCAUUCAUUAGGUUGCUUUUUUGUUUUACUGAUGGUUUCCUUCAUUGUGUAAAAGCUUUUCAUUUUGGUGUAGUUCCAAUAGUUUAUUUUUGCUUUUGUUUCCCUUGCCUCAGAAGACAUAUCUAGAAAAAUGUUUCUAUGCCCCAUGUCAAAGAAAUUACUGCCCAUGUUUUCUUCUAGAAGUUUCAUGGUUUCAGGUCUCACAUUUGAUGGUCUCUAAUCCAUUUUGAGUUUAUUCUCUGUAUGAUGUAAAAACAAAGUGGUCUAGUUUCAUUCUUUUGCAUGUAGCUGUCCAGGUUUCCCAGCACCAUGUGAUGAAGAGACUGUCUUCUCCCCAUUGUAUAUUCUUGCCUCCUUUGUUGUAGAUUAACCAUAUGGUAUGGGUUUAUUUCUGGGCUCUCUAUUCUGUUCCAUUGAUCUAUGUGUCUAUUUUUUUAAAUUUUUUUAUUGUUAUGUUAAUCCCCAUACAUUACAUCAUUAGUUUUAGAUGUAGUGUUCCAUGAUUCAUUGUUUGUGCAUAACACCCAGUGCUCCAUGCACAACGUGCCCUCUAUAAUACCCAUCACCAGGCUAACCCAUCCUCCCACCCCCCUCCCCUCUAGAACCCUCAGUUUGUUUUUCAGAGUCCAUCGUCUCUCAUGGUCGUCUACCCCUCCGAUUUCCCCCGCUUCAUUCUUCCCUUCCCGCUACCUUCUUCUUCUUCUUUUUUUUUUCUUAACAUAUAUUGCAUUAUUUGUUUCAGAGGUACAGAUCUGAGAUUCAACAGUCUUGCACAAUUCACAGCGCUUACCAGAGCACAUACCCUCCCCAGUGUCUAUCACCCAGUCACCCCACCCUCCCACCCCACCCCCCACUCCAGCAACCCUCAGUCUGUUUCCUGCAAUUAAGAAUUUCUCAUAUCAGUGAGGUCAUAUGAUACAUGUCUUUCUCUGUUUGACUUAUUUCGCUCAGCAUAAUACCCUCCAGUUCCAUCCACGUCGUUGCAAAUGGCAAGAUCUCAUUGCUUUUGAUGGCUGCAUAAUUGAUCUGUGUCUAUUUUUGUGUCAGUACCAUAUUGUUUUGAUUACUAUAGCUUUGUAGUAUAUCUUGAAAUCGGAUUUUGAUGCUUCCAGCUUUGUUCUUCUUUCUCAAAAUUGCUUUGGCUUAAUUGAAGUUUGGGGUUUUUUUAAAAACUUUUAUUUAUUUAUUUAUUUUGAGAGAGAGAGUGAGAGUGCAGCUGGAGCAACAGGGGCUGAGGGAGAGAGAGAAUCUCAAUCAGACUCCCCGCUGAGAGAAGAUCCUGAAGCAGGGCUUGACCUGGGGCUUGAUCUCACCACCCUAAGAUCAUGACCUGAGCCAAAAUCAAGAGUCAGGCACUUAAAACUGAUUGAACCACCCAGGUUCCCUGCUUAAUUGAUGUUGUUUUUUUUAAAGAUUUAUUUAUUCAUUUAAGAGAGAGAGCACGCGCAUGAGCAGGGGGAGGGGCAGAGGGAGAGGGGGAAGCAGACUCCCCACCAAGGGGAGAUACCAUGUGGGUCUCGAUCCUAAGACCCUGAGAUCAUGACCAGAGCCAAAACCAAGAAUCGGAUGCCUGACUGAGGCACCCAGAUGCCCGUAAUUGAUGUUUUAAUGAGUUCUUGGAGUAGAUACCCUUACAUUUCAACUACAUAAAUUAAUUUAUACUUAGAAACCUUCCUAAGGAUAUUUACAUUCAGGAUUACAUUCAGAGACCUGAAACCAUGAGACUGGGAUGGAGUCCCACAUCGGGCUCCCUGCUUGGCGGGAAGCCUGCUUCUCCCUCUCCCACUCCCCCUGCUUGUGUUCCCUCUCUCGCUGUGUCUCUCUCUGUCAAAUAAAUAAAUAAAAUCUUUAAAAAAUAUAUAUUGUACACUUAAUAGACCAUUUCCUGCCUUUUGUCUGGUCAUUAUGGAAGGUAGAAAGAGAAAAGCUUCCUAGGAGUUGCAUGUUACCUAACGAUGCAUUGACAACAAAAGGCUAAAAGUAUAAUCGGAUCCUUGUCUUCUUGCUGACAAUUAGCAAAUACUGAUUCUCUUCCCAGCUUAUUGAACAUGUAAACUCAUAUGGACCCUCCCUUAUUUAUGUAGUGUGUCAGUAUGUUUAUUUUCAGACUGAUGGAGAGGGGUAGUACUCUUCUUGGCUUUUCAAAGUACAAAUUCUUUCACUCAAACAUGUAGAAUCUUUAAUAGACAUCUGCAAUUUUCCACUUGGACAGCUUUCACUAAUAUUUUUAAGAUCCAAAGGGCUAUUUCUUUUCCAAUAGCAUCUUUUCCAGUCCACCUUGACAUUUUAAGUUAGGUUUUAAAAAUAAACAGCAUUGGGCGCCUGGGUGGCUCAGUUGGUUAAGCGACUGCCUUCGGCUCAGGUCAUGAUCCUGGAGUCCUAGGUUCAAGUCCCGCAUCCGGCUCCCUGCUCAGCAGGGAGUCUGCUUCUCCCUCUGACCCUCCCCCCUUUCGUGUGCUCUCUCUCUCUCUCUCAUUCUCUCAAAUAAAUAAAAUCUUAAAACAAAUAAAAAUAAAUAAAAAAUAAAUAAAUAAAAAUAAACAGCAUUGUCUAGUUUUACAGUGCUCAAAGUGUUCAGGCUGGAGAUGUGAUACUGUUUUCUUUGCUGACUGGGCCUGCAUUCCCAGAACUUGCUGCAGAAAUGGCAUUCAAGACUGUGUUGAUUGGAGUGAUGAAAAUUUGUGUGACUAGAAGACUUUUCUAAUCAUUGUUUUUGGAAAAGCUAAAAACUGUUAUGUUACCUUAAGACUUCGCUCCAAAAAAAAAAUUAACAUAUGUAUCUUAUUGGGGAGAGAGGAGCCUCCUGAAGCAUGAAUUCAGUGUUAUGGAAUGGAGAAAAGUCUGAUUAGUAGAAAUCAGACCCAACCUUUGGGGACCUUCAGGGACCUUCAGCCCAUUUCUAAACGUGUUUCCAAAUUUUAGAAUGUAGCUUUCUGUCCUGUGUACCACCGGGUUAUUAUGGGGAUGACACAUGUGUACUUUAGUUCAAUUAUUCCUACAAAUAAAAGGUAUUUAUCCUGAGUUCUCAGAUCAAAAUUUGACAUCUAUCUCUUCAUUAGCAUAGGCCUGGUUCAGAAUCAGCUGAAAGCUAGUUUGGCCCAGGGCUAGCCUUAAAAGUAGUGGACAACAACCAGCAUGUAGUGACAACAUCCAAAAGAUCAACCAGAUGACAAUCAUCUGCCCUACUAGUCCACCAGGGCUUGACAUUCUUUCUAGUAGUGCCUGAGGUCAAAAGAUCAGACCUGAGUGUGAAUCUCAUACUGCCACACAAGCUGUGUUGACCUGAGACUCACUUCUUGAAGAUGGUUUCCUUGUUUGUACAAUGUGACUCUUUGGGGGAGGGGGGAGUUAUUAUGAUAACCAAUAAGAUUAUAUAAAACGAGUGGUACAGAGCUUAACAUAUAAUAGCCAGAGGGAUUGUGGGAGAUUAAAGAAAAAUUAUAAGGAUAUGGUGGGUUGUAGUAUUGUUCAAAAGUAUGUGCUGUCCUGCUCUGAGGGAGUAUUAGAUUUCCUCAGUCCUCAUAGCCAUCAGACUGGACUAUGUAUGUGACUUUUUCUGGCUGAUGAAAUUUGAUUAAUGAUGUGCAUCAAUUCCCAACAUAAGUGUGCAGAGCCAGCUGGUCGUUUGCCCUCUUUUCCCUGUCCUGAAACUAGCAAUGUUCCGAUUAGAUGCUACCCUUGGAGUAAAGUGGAUCCCAGCCACAGGCAAACCACAAACAUCAAGGGUGUCAAACAAAUCUUUGUAGCAACUAAAAUUUUAAGUCAUUUGCAUCUGUAGCAUAACCCUGCUUAUCACGAUACUGAAGGUAUUAUAAGAAAAACCUUAUUAAUCUAUGGCCACUAACAAACAACAGACCAUUUAAAAAAAAUGAAACAACAAAAAAACUUUUCUCAAGGUUGGGAGAAAAAUCUCUGGAUACGGGCAGAACAGGAUUAGCCCUAGCCAGCUUCUGCUAAAAGCAGCAAGUUGCCCUGUGUAGGACAGGCUUGGAAAUCUAUUGUACUUCUCUAGUCCCAUUCCCAUACAGAUCUUGGGCAACCACCUGGGAGGAUACUCAAGAGUGGCAUUCUUCACAUGCCCAAGUCAGCCUGUCACUUUCACCCCAGUAUCUUGGGAUGAGUUGAGGAAAUCUCUAACUUAAAAUCUCAUCUCCUCAAAGCAUGCAUGGUCAGUGGACCCGCAAUAUCAGAAUCACCUGGGAGCUUAUCAGAAACGCAAACCCACAGGCCCCACUCCAGGCCUUCCCAAUCUUCUGCUUUCCUUUAGCCAUUCCACUUAGUCGGUUACAUACUAGUGACCUUUGUGACUAACAGCUUUAGAAGCCAGCAAAUGACCCACCUUCUUCUCUCUGCCAGGAAGCAGAGUUUCAGGAAGAGGUUGCCAGUCUGGGGCCUAGAGUGAUUAUGUAGCAGAGCCCAACCAGACCCACUAUAGUUGGGAAACAUGUACUUUUUCUUUGUAAUUUUGUAAACCAUUGAGACUGUGAAGUCUUUGUUACUGUAGCAGUGUACUUUAACAAGACUGAUACACAUCCUUUGAAAACAAUACAAUGUUAAAAUGUGCAAAUACUAUUUAUACAAGUAUUUCAUUUUUGGUAGCUUGCUUACAGUGACUUUAGAUAAAGCUGCAUAGUACCCUCAGAAAGUACUUGCAAACUGUUAUGUAAAUUUAAAAUGAAUUCUUAUGGCUACAAGUAGAAACUAAGACAAUUUUCUUUCUCAUUUGCCUCGAUGCAGAUGACACAUAUCUUAAUUGCCAUUUGUAAAUUUUUAAGUUACUUCAACAUUAUGAUUGCUAAUACAGUUUUUUUUUUUUAAGUAGCCUUAUAUCUGGGAUGAUGGAACUGUUCGGUAUCCUGAUUGGGAUGCAGGCACAAAUACUAUGUGUUAAAUUUCUUAAAACUGUAUACAUGUCAACUUUAAGAUUUUUUUUUUUUUUUAAGAGAAAAAGGUAGCCCUCUACCAUUUUAAAUUUAAGAUGAGGUGACAUUCCCAAUACAAACACUAGCUUUUCUCAGGUGUCUUACAGAAUAUCCUACAAGGAAGAGAGUUAAGAGAUUACUUCCACUUUUUUUAGGUAACCUUGAGUUACAACUAGAAAAUGGAGCUACAGGGACACCUGGGUGGCUCAGUCGUUAAGCGUCUGCCUUCGGCUCAGGUCAUGAUCCCAGGGUCCUGGGAUCGAGCCCCGCAUCGGGCUCUCUGCUCGGCCGGGAGCCUGCUUCUCCCUCUCCCACUCCCCCUGCUUGUGUUCCCUCUCUAGCUGUCUCUCUCUGUGUCAAAUAAAUAAAAUAAAAUCUUUAAAAAAAAAAAAAAAAAAUGGAGCUACAAAUCCCUACUUCAUAGACUGAGGAUUAAAUGAGAAA